GACAGAGGGUGCAAACGUUGCUCGGAAUUACUGGGCGUAAAGCGCGUGUAGGCGGUCCCUUAAGUCAACUGUGAAAUCCCUCGGCUCAACCGAGGAAGUGCAGUUGAUACUGGGGGACUCGAGUCUCGGAGAGGGUGGCGGAAUGCGCAGUGUAGAGGUGAAAUUCGUAGAUAUUGCGUAGAACAUCAGUGGCGAAGGCGGCCACCUGGAAGAAGACUGACGCUGAGACGCGAAAGCGUGGGGAUCAAACAGG
rnacentral:rRNA from 1 species